CACGUAGGGCGCAAGCGUUGUCCGGAAUUAUUGGGCGUAAAGAGCUCGUAGGCGGCCUGUUGCGUCCGCUGUGAAAACUCGGGGCUUAACCCCGAGCCUGCAGUGGAUACGGGCAGACUAGAGGUAGGUAGGGGAGAAUGGAAUUCCCGGUGUAGCGGUGAAAUGCGCAGAUAUCGGGAGGAACACCGGUGGCGAAGGCGGUUCUCUGGGCCUUACCUGACGCUGAGGAGCGAAAGCGUGGGGAGCGAACAGGA
rnacentral:rRNA from 1 species